rnacentral:rRNA from 1 species
ACACAUGCAGUCGAGCGGCAGCACAGAGAAACUUGUUUCUCGGGUGGCGAGCGGCGGACGGGUGAGUAAUGCCUGGGAAAUUGCCCUGAUGUGGGGGAUAACCAUUGGAAACGAUGGCUAAUACCGCAUAAUAGCUUCGGCUCAAAGAGGGGGACCUUCGGGCCUCUCGCGUCAGGAUAUGCCCAGGUGGGAUUAGCUAGUUGGUGAGGUAAUGGCUCACCAAGGCGACGAUCCCUAGCUGGUCUGAGAGGAUGAUCAGCCACACUGGAACUGAGACACGGUCCAGACUCCUACGGGAGGCAGCAGUGGGGAAUAUUGCACAAUGGGCGCAAGCCUGAUGCAGCCAUGCCGCGUGUGUGAAGAAGGCCUUCGGGUUGUAAAGCACUUUCAGUCGUGAGGAAGGUGGUGUUGUUAAUAGCAACAUCAUUUGACGUUAGCGACAGAAGAAGCACCGGCUAACUCCGUGCCAGCAGCCGCGGUAAUACGGAGGGUGCGAGCGUUAAUCGGAAUUACUGGGCGUAAAGCGCAUGCAGGUGGUUUGUUAAGUCAGAUGUGAAAGCCCGGGGCUCAACCUCGGAAUAGCAUUUGAAACUGGCAAGCUAGAGUACUGUAGAGGGGGGUAGAAUUUCACGUGUAGCGGUGAAAUGCGUAGAGAUCUGAAAGGAAUACCGGUGGCGAAAGCGGCCCCCUGGACAGAUACUGACACUCAGAUGCGAAAGCGUGGGGAGCAAACAG